UCAUUUCUUGUAUUGAAUGAGAUACUGUUCCAAGCACUUACAGGGAAUAUUGCAUUAACUGACCUAGCAAACCAUGCAAGAAGGUUGAUUAUUGUUCCCCCUGUGACAGAUGAUGCCGCAAAGGGACAGAAAGGUGAAGUACCUAGCCCAAGAGACAGGCUGGUAAAUGAUGGAGCCAGGAAUCAAAAAAAGACAGUUCAGGUUUGGGGCCCAAGAUCUUAUCAACAGAAGUUAAUCUUAAUCACUUUUGUUUAUCCCCAUGUGACAUGUACACUGAAAUGUCUCUUUUCAGGUUUUAGGUGGUUACUUGUCAAUGUCUAUGAGCCUCAGAGUCAAGCCUCUGGUGUAUCAGCGGAAGUAAAAGAUGACCAAGGCGUCCUUCCAAGACCUGACUCAAACCCAUUUCCAGCAGAAAGCCCUCUUAGAUUUGGCAUAUCCUCUGUUCCCCUCCUCUCACCUAUAUUUUGCAUUUCUUCAGCCCCUCAGUGUAUAGACUGUUUAUAGAUUGCUUUACACAUGUCCUUAAAUGGCUUUUUUUUUUUCUUUUUUGGUAAUAUCUGUUUCUUUCCAGUUAAAGAGGGAAGAAUGUUUGGAACUAUGCUAGGUAUUUUAAUAUUUGCAUAACAAAUAUGUAUUAAAAUAGAAUACACAGAAGGAGAAAGAGCAAAGAAAGUAAGGAAAAGGUAUAAAGACCCUGAUGCUGGGAAAGACUGAAGGCAGGAAAAGAAGGGGAUGACAAAGGAUGAGAUGGUUGGAUGGCAUCACCAACUCAAUGGACAUGAGUUUGAGCGAACUCCGGGAGUUGGUGAUGGACAGGGAAGCCUGGCGUGCUGCACUCCAUGGGGUUGCAAAGAGUCGGACAUGACUGAGUGACUGAACUGAUUCCAUGUCUGACAUACCCUGCUCCUGUAGAUGUAACGUCAUGACCAGAUUAGAUGAAUAAAAAAUGAUACAAACAGAAAUGGGAGAAAUCCAGAGAAACUGUGAACCACAGAGAAGAAGAGAGUGUUGUUUGUCUCUUCAUUAAGUCUAAACCUUAAGGAACUAU
rnacentral:lncRNA from 1 species